AGGAAUUUAGGUUAAAAAGACCAAGAGCCUUCAAAGCCCUAAGCAGAUGUAACUUAAAUCUAAUUCCUG
rnacentral:tRNA from 1 species